CUUUUCCUCGGUACACAGGAUAGGUCUGGAAGUGCACCGUCCGAAACUCAAGUGUGGACCACCUGAGCACGACAGGAGAAAGCGACAAAGUCACCUGAACCGCGAUGCCUUCCAGUCUCUGAGGAGGCACCCUGAACUCGCCAUAUGGCUCCGUUUUCAUGAGGGGAGAAGAAACAGUUUCAUGCCCACCUGCCCGCGGCGUCUCCUCUCGGGUACCCCUUCCCCAGCCCCUGCCCGGCGCGCGAGCUGCCGGUAUCCACGGUCCCGCCCGCUCCGGGCUCGGGCCGGCAGCUCCCCCGGCGGCCGCCUCUGCACCAGUCGCCAACCUCCGUGCCGGGCCGAGGUCAUGCCCGCCUGCCCCCGGAGCCUGCGAGGCCCCUUCCCGGUGCCAGGCGACAAGCCCGAGAAGCUCCGGCAGGGAAGGGGGUCCGCGGCAGAGUUGGCACCCGGACUCACCAGGAGGAAGAGGGAGACUCUAGGAAGGUGCCAAGCUGAUAUUGUCCUAGGCCCCAGGAGAAAUCCACUCUCUGAAAAAAAGAAGCACAAAUGAGUAAAGAUAAUUAGGCUCAGAUCAGGAGAGAACUGAAAGCUCACAGCUCACUCAUUUCUGAAGACUUCAGCUCAGGCUGAAGUUGUCACUAGCUUAUUGAAAAGGGGAACAAUGGGAUGUCCAGCACUUGGAACAGGGUCUACCAAGGAGCACCUAAUACAUACACUGUAACGGGCAUAUGUGGCAAGGACCUGAGUGUGACUCCAGUCAACAGCCAGUGAAGAUCUGAGGCUCUCAUUCCAAAAGCCCACAAAGAAGCAAGUUCUGCCAACAGCCCUGUGAGUGAGUGUGGGAAAAGACCUUUCUCAGUCAUAUAUUAAGGCGACCGCCAUCCUGGGAGACCUGACCUAGCUGCCUCACACUCAUAUUCCUGACCCAUGAAACUGACCCAGGUAACUGACAGAUGCUGUAAGAAGCAGCCAAGUUGGGGAGUAGCUUCUGUGGGAGCAGGCAACUAACAUCAACUGAGCAGUGCUCCAGCAUCCAGAGUUAAUCUCACUUAGUUCCUCGUUUAAUUUCUGAGAAAAGUCUCUAUUUAAGAGCACAGGGUGUUUUAGAAAUUUUCUACCUAAGGAGUAGAACUCCUUGGAGGAUUGGUUAGCUUCUAACCUACCCAGAGCCCCAAGGGGUAUACUCUCAUUAAAGACUAGCUAAUUGCAUAUGCUAGGGUUAAAACUUUGUCAAAAGAUAUGUUAAAAAUUUUUAAAGAAGAAAAAAAUAAAAAAGACUGCUUAAUUAUUACAUGUUUUAGUAUUAUGAUAAGGCAUCAUGGGUGCAAAAAUAAGAAUAAAUAAUAGUAGCAACAACUACUACACUCUUGUA